UACCGGAUAGGAGCGUCCACCGCAUGGUGGGUGUUGGAAAGAUUUAUCGGUUUUGGAUGGACUCGCGGCCUAUCAGCUUGUUGGUGAGGUAAUGGCUCACCAAGGCGACGACGGGUAGCCGGCCUGAGAGGGUGACCGGCCACACUGGGACUGAGACACGGCCCAGACUCCUACGGGAGGCAGCAGUGGGGAAUAUUGCACAAUGGGCGCAAGCCUGAUGCAGCGACGCCGCGUGAGGGAUGACGGCCUUCGGGUUGUAAACCUCUUUCAGUAGGGAAGAAGCGAAAGUGACGGUACCUGCAGAAGAAGCACCGGCUAACUACGUGCCAGCAGCCGCGGUAAUACGUAGGGUGCGAGCGUUAUCCGGAAUUAUUGGGCGUAAAGAGCUCGUAGGCGGUUUGUCGCGUCUGUCGUGAAAGUCCGGGGCUUAACCCCGGAUCUGCGGUGGGUACGGGCAGACUAGAGUGCAGUAGGGGAGACUGGAAUUCCUGGUGUAGCGGUGGAAUGCGCAGAUAUCAGGAGGAACACCGAUGGCGAAGGCAGGUCUCUGGGCUGUAACUGACGCUGAGGAGCGAAAGCAUGGGGAGCGAACAGGAUUAGAUACCCUGGUAGUCCAUGCCGUAAACGUUGGGCACUAGGUGUGGGGACCAUUCCACGGUUUCCGCGCCGCAGCUAACGCAUUAAGUGCCCCGCCUGGGGAGUACGGCCGCAAGGCUAAAACUCAAAGGAAUUGACGGGGGCCCGCACAAGCGGCGGAGCAUGCGGAUUAAUUCGAUGCAACGCGAAGAACCUUACCAAGGCUUGACAUGUUCUCGAUCGCCGUAGAGAUACGGUUUCCCCUUUGGGGCGGGUUCACAGGUGGUGCAUGGUUGUCGUCAGCUCGUGUCGUGAGAUGUUGGGUUAAGUCCCGCAACGAGCGCAACCCUCGUUCCAUGUUGCCAGCACGUAGUGGUGGGGACUCAUGGGAGACUGCCGGGGUCAACUCGGAAGGAAGGUGAGGACGACGUCAAAUCAUCAUGCCCCUUAUGUCUUGGGCUUCACGCAUGCUACAAUGGCCGGUACAAUGGGUUGCGAUACUGUGAGGUGGAGCUAAUCCCAAAAAGCCGGUCUCAGUUCGGAUUGGGGUCUGCAACUCGACCCCAUGAAGUCGGAGUCGCUAGUAAUCGCAGAUCAGCAACGCUGCGGUGAAUACGUUCCCGGGCCUUGUACACACCGCCCGUCAAGUCACGAAAGUCGGUAACACCCGAAGCCGGUGGCCUAACCCUUGUGGGGGGAGCCGUCGAA
rnacentral:rRNA from 1 species